rnacentral:rRNA from 2 species
UGCAGUCGAACGCGUUGGCCCAAUUGAUUGAUGGUGCUUGCACCUGAUUGAUUUUGGUCGCCAACGAGUGGCGGACGGGUGAGUAACACGUAGGUAACCUGCCCAGAAGCGGGGGACAACAUUUGGAAACAGAUGCUAAUACCGCAUAACAGCGUUGUUCGCAUGAACAACGCUUAAAAGAUGGCUUCUCGCUAUCACUUCUGGAUGGACCUGCGGUGCAUUAGCUUGUUGGUGGGGUAACGGCCUACCAAGGCGAUGAUGCAUAGCCGAGUUGAGAGACUGAUCGGCCACAAUGGGACUGAGACACGGCCCAUACUCCUACGGGAGGCAGCAGUAGGGAAUCUUCCACAAUGGGCGCAAGCCUGAUGGAGCAACACCGCGUGAGUGAAGAAGGGUUUCGGCUCGUAAAGCUCUGUUGUUAAAGAAGAACACGUAUGAGAGUAACUGUUCAUACGUUGACGGUAUUUAACCAGAAAGUCACGGCUAACUACGUGCCAGCAGCCGCGGUAAUACGUAGGUGGCAAGCGUUAUCCGGAUUUAUUGGGCGUAAAGAGAGUGCAGGCGGUUUUCUAAGUCUGAUGUGAAAGCCUUCGGCUUAACCGGAGAAGUGCAUCGGAAACUGGAUAACUUGAGUGCAGAAGAGGGUAGUGGAACUCCAUGUGUAGCGGUGGAAUGCGUAGAUAUAUGGAAGAACACCAGUGGCGAAGGCGGCUACCUGGUCUGCAACUGACGCUGAGACUCGAAAGCAUGGGUAGCGAACAGGAUUAGAUACCCUGGUAGUCCAUGCCGUAAACGAUGAGUGCUAGGUGUUGGAGGGUUUCCGCCCUUCAGUGCCGGAGCUAACGCAUUAAGCACUCCGCCUGGGGAGUACGACCGCAAGGUUGAAACUCAAAGGAAUUGACGGGGGCCCGCACAAGCGGUGGAGCAUGUGGUUUAAUUCGAAGCUACGCGAAGAACCUUACCAGGUCUUGACAUCUUGCGCCAACCCUAGAGAUAGGGCGUUUCCUUCGGGAACGCAAUGACAGGUGGUGCAUGGUCGUCGUCAGCUCGUGUCGUGAGAUGUUGGGUUAAGUCCCGCAACGAGCGCAACCCUUGUUACUAGUUGCCAGCAUUAAGUUGGGCACUCUAGUGAGACUGCCGGUGACAAACCGGAGGAAGGUGGGGACGACGUCAGAUCAUCAUGCCCCUUAUGACCUGGGCUACACACGUGCUACAAUGGACGGUACAACGAGUCGCGAACUCGCGAGGGCAAGCAAAUCUCUUAAAACCGUUCUCAGUUCGGACUGCAGGCUGCAACUCGCCUGCACGAAGUCGGAAUCGCUAGUAAUCGCGGAUCAGCAUGCCGCGGUGAAUACGUUCCCGGGCCUUGUACACACCGCCCGUCACACCAUGAGAGUUUGUAACACCCAAAGUCGGUGGGGUAACCUUUUAGGAGCCAGCCGCG